rnacentral:rRNA from 1 species
UAGAGGAUGUUUCGGGUGCGAUGCGAGUCUAAGUCCUUUGGAACAGGGCGUCAUAGAGGGUGAGAAUCCCGUAUGUGACCCGUGAUCAAGCCCAUGUGAAACCCCUUCGACGAGUCGAGUUGUUUGGGAAUGCAGCUCAAAAUGGGUGGUAAAUUUCAUCUAAAGCUAAAUACUGGCCAGAGACCGAUAGCGCACAAGUAGAGUGAUCGAAAGAUGAAAAGCACUUUGGAAAGAGAGUCAAAAAGUACGUGAAAUUGUUGAAAGGGAAGCGCUUGCAACCAGACCUGUCCACAGGUGAUCAACUCCCGUUCUCGGGGGUGCACUCGUCUGUGAUCAGGCCAGCAUCGGUUCGGGCGGUCGGAUAAAGGCCUUGGGAAUGUAGCUCCUUCCGGGGAGUGUUAUAUCCCUCGGUGCAAUGCGACCAGCCCGGACCGAGGACCGCGCCUUCGGGCUAGGAUGCUGGCGUAAUGGUUGUAAGCGACCCGUCUUGAAACACGGACCAAGGAGUCUAACAUCUAUGCGAGUGUUUGGGUGUCAAACCCAUGCGCGUAAUGAAAGUGAACGGAGGUGAGAACCCUUAAGGGCGCAUCAUCGACCGAUCCAGAUGUCUUCGGAUGGAUUUGAGUAUGAGCAUAGCUGUUGGGACCCGAAAGAUGGUGAACUAUGCCUGAAUAGGGUGAAGCCAGGGGAAACCCUGGUGGAGGCUCGCAGCGGUUCUGACGUGCAAAUCGAUCGUCAAAUUUGGGUAUAGGGGCGAAAGACUAAUCGAACCAUC